rfam:Gorilla gorilla gorilla genomic chromosome, chr5, whole genome shotgun sequence
GCAGGGUAUGGUGGCGUGUGCCUGUAAUCCCAGCUACUUGGGAGGCUGAGGCACAAGAAUUGCUUAAACCCAGGAGGUAAAGGUUGCAGUGAGAUGAGAUCACGCCACUGCACUCCAGCNNNNNNNNNNGCUGGAGUGCAGUGGCGUGAUCUCAUCUCACUGCAACCUUUACCUCCUGGGUUUAAGCAAUUCUUGUGCCUCAG